AUACGAAGGGGGCUAGCGUUGUUCGGAAUUACUGGGCGUAAAGCGCGCGUAGGCGGAUUGGUCAGUUAGGGGUGAAAUCCCAGGGCUUAACCCUGGAACUGCCUCUGAUACUGCCAGUCUUGAGUUCGGGAGAGGUGCGUGGAAUUCCUAGUGUAGAGGUGAAAUUCGUAGAUAUUAGGAAGAACACCAGUGGCGAAGGCGGCUCACUGGCCCGAUACUGACGCUGAGGCGCGAAAGCGUGGGGAGCAAACAGGAUUAGAAACCCUAGUAGUCC
rnacentral:rRNA from 1 species